rnacentral:rRNA from 1 species
UACGUAGGGCGCAAGCGUUGUCCGGAAUUAUUGGGCGUAAAGAGCUCGUAGGCGGUUUGUCGCGUCGGAUGUGAAAGCCCGGGGCUUAACCCCGGGUCUGCAUUCGAUACGGGCAGACUGGAGUGUGGUAGGGGAGAUCGGAAUUCCUGGUGUAGCGGUGAAAUGCGCAGAUAUCAGGAGGAACACCGGUGGCGAAGGCGGAUCUCUGGGCAUUAACUGACGCUGAGGAGCGAAAGCAUGGGGAGCGAACAGG